rnacentral:rRNA from 1 species
UACGUAGGGUCCGAGCGUUGUCCGGAAUUACUGGGCGUAAAGAGCUCGUAGGUGGUUUGUCGCGUUGUUCGUGAAAACUCACAGCUCAACUGUGGGCGUGCGGGCGAUACGGGCAGACUGGAGUACUGCAGGGGAGACUGGAAUUCCUGGUGUAGCGGUGGAAUGCGCAGAUAUCAGGAGGAACACCGGUGGCGAAGCGGUCUCUGGCAGUAACUGACGCUGAGGAGCGAAAGCGUGGGGAGCGAACAGG